UGCCAGCAGCCGCGGUAAUACUGAAGGUGCAAGCGUUAAUCGGAAUCACUGGGCGUAAAGCGCUCGUAGGUGGCUUUGUAAGUCAGAUGUGAAAGCCCACGGCUCAACCGUGGAAUUGCAUUUGAUACUGCAUCGCUAGAGUAUAGGAGAGGGAAGUGGAAUUUCUGGUGUAGGAGUGAAAUCCGUAGAGAUCAGAAGGAACACCGGUGGCGAAGGCGACUUCCUGGGCUAUUACUGACACUCAGAGACGAAAGCUAGGGUAGCAAAUGGGAUUAGAUA
rnacentral:rRNA from 1 species